GAUCAUGGCUCAGGAUGAACGCUAGCUACAGGCUUAACACAUGCAAGUCGAGGGGCAGCAUGGUCUUAGCUUGCUAAGGCCGAUGGCGACCGGCGCACGGGUGAGUAACACGUAUCCAACCUGCCGUCUACGUCUUGGACAGCCUUCUGAAAAGGAAGAUUAAUACAAGAUGGCAUCAUGAGUCCACAUGUUCACAUGAUUAAAGGUAUUCCGGGUAGACGAUGGGGA
rnacentral:rRNA from 1 species